GGCAGUGGUAGAUUAGUUGUUAAGAGAUUGGACUGCUGCUUGGAAGGUCGUGAGUUCAAAUCCCAGCACUGCCA